UACAUCUCACUCCAGACCCGAUCCAUAACUCCAUUAAAUGCCAGGUAAACGUUUGCCUUUACACACCCUGAGCGCAACGUCAGGGUUGCGGCACGCCGGAAAAUACGACACGGAACGACAGGAAGGGGUCAAUGGCCGGUACGCUAUACUUGUAAGCGUGGAAUUUUGGCCGAUCUUGACCAAAAGGGGAAGUGCUAAAAACAGUUAUCACGCUAAAUGGCGGGAGAUUUUUAGCCAAAUGUAUGCAAAAAUGCGCUACAUCACUUUUUGUGUGGGAAUAAAAAGGAGAAAACUUGAUGAGCAAUGAUCUGAAAUACUCUUUAAUUACGACCUUAAUCGUCCUCGCUUUGAUCGUUGCGGGUGGUCUGACCGCAGCUCUGCACUGAUUU
rnacentral:ncRNA from 22 species